rnacentral:rRNA from 1 species
UUGGGGGAUGUAUAGUCCUCUUAUGAGGCUAGUUAUGUUUUGGAGGAGUAAUGCACCUUGAUGGGGUUACACUACUUAACAUAAUACCAACUACGUUGGAUAAAGUUCUAGAUAGAAUACUGAUUAUGACUAUUUUCUAUCUACAUGUCUUGACCAAAUUACGUGCCAGCAAUCGCGGUAAUACGUAGAAGACUAGUGUUAUUCAUCUUUAAUAGGUUUAAAGGGUACCUAGACGGUAUUACUAACCCUUUGGGAAAUAGUUUUGCUAGAGUUUUAUAUGAGAAGGGGAGUAUUUAAGGAGUAGAGUUAUAAUUCUUUGAUACUUUAAGGACUGGUAAAAGCGAAAGCAACCUUCUAUGUAAAAACUGACGUUGAGGGACGGAGGCUUAGAUAGCGAACAGGAUUAGAUACCCUAGUAGUCUUAGCAGAGAAUGAUGAAUGCCAUAGACUAGAUUUUUAUUUUGGUUUAUAAAUGAAAGUGUAAGCAUUCCACCUCAAGAGUACUGUGGCAACGCUGGAACUGAAAUCAUUAGACCGUUUCUGAGAACAGUAGUGAAGUAUGUUAUUUAAUUCGAUAAUCCUCGAAAAACCUUACCACAACUUGAAUGAUGUCAUGUUAAAAAAAAAAAAAUGUAUAAAAUAAGUACAUUUUUUUUUCGUGUUGUUACAAGGGUGGCACGGUUGUCUCCACCUAAGGUCGUGAGAUUUGGGUUAGUUCCAUAAAAUUACCAAAACCCCGGUUUUAUUUUUAAAUUUUUUCAUAAAGCAGU